AUGGCCGCAGAUGGCGAACAGGGAACCACCAAGACGCCACCAGCUCCAACCAUGUCGCCGCCAAACGCCCACCAACCAGAUCGGGCUCACCACCGCCCCAAACUCACCGAAGGCGGCACCUCGAUGAGGGUGACGGCGCCGCGAGCGUCGUUGCCGCCCAAUCCAAAGGGAUUUGGGUUUUCACCCCGGCGUCGCCGUCGUCGUGGCCGGCAGAGCCAGCCUUGGAUUUCUCCGAGCCCCACGUCUUCCCCACGCCUAGCACAGACGCGACGCCGGCAGCCUGGGGCGGCCGGAGAUCAGAUCCGACAGGGGCCGAAAGGGUUGGAGGCGGAGGCGUCAGAUCCGGGGCAGGCGCCCCCAUGGCCACCGCGCCCCACAGCCACCACCUGCCGCCGCCUUGCCACCCGCGUGGCCAAGGGGACGGCCAGCACUAGCAACGACCACUUGCUGAGGUCGCCGUCGCUCCACCACCAAAGGCCGCCGCCUCGGCUCCAUUGCCCCCUGCACGAGACAGGGCGGACAGAUCCUCGCCACCACCCUCCCCGGCGGACGCGCGGCGAUCCAGCGACCCCCUCUGGUGGUGGCGAGGGCGAGGAGAAGGGGGGAGGGGUGGCUGGCGGCGGGCUAGGUUAUCGCCGCCCGAGUCGCCCCUGCGGGAGCGACGCGGGGGCCCUAAAUGCCGCCUGGACCAUCAACAAAGAAUAUCUAUCUUUUUUGGUUCACCACAUGAUCCAUUAUGUCAUUGAAACCAGCCAGCUGCUCAGUGUUCAAACUGCCAUUUUGUUUGACUCGGGAGUUCAACGGUGCGUGAUGGCAAUAGUUGCACCAGGACGAGCAGGCUUUUGCAUCCGUGUCCAUGGAUUGGUCCCCUCUCCGCAGAUGGAUGUGGUGUCAGCUAGGGUUAGGAGACAAGUCGGCCAGACCCUCUCGUUCGGCGCUGGACGGCGAGCGGCGGGCGGCGCCGGUGAUUCCUCUCUGGUGAUUGUUCCGCUAAGUGGCAGCCCUAUUCCGAGCGUUCCGUGCUGGGCCGGCGGCCAGCGAGCGGCGCGGCUGAUACCUCUCCGGCGAUUGUCCGGCCAGCCGUGCUCAAUCCCCAACUGGAUUUGGGUCCCUAGCCCGUCUGCCAGUGCCUGUCAUGACCAGCUACAGCCAGUAACAAUGGAAUGCCAAAGUGAAGUGAGCAAGGCUCCUUCUUUUGCUAUUUGUGAUGUCCAGUCUGAUGCAGAAUCAGCCGUCCACACUAGGCCAAGUCUGGACAUUGGGUUUACUACACCACAGAAAUCCUAUAGUGCACCUUUCUGUGGCUCAUCUUGUACUCCAGAGUGUGAUGAUGCCAUCAGACCAGCCAUUGGGAUGACUUUUGCUGAUUUGAACGCAGCCAAGGAGUUCUAUGAAGCUUAUGCACAUCAUGUUGGGUUUUCAGUACGUGUGGGGCAGCAAAAGAUUGUCAAUGGUGUCAUUACUCACAAGCGUUUCUAUUGUGACCAUGAAGGUUUCCAUGAAGAGCGGAAAGGAUUUUAUUUUGACUAUGUUCUUGAUGAUAAGGGUAGACUGGUACAUGUGUUCUGGGCGGAUGCCACAUGUAGGAAAAAUUAUGCUCUAUUUGGAGAGCUUGUGUCCUUUGACUCCACGUAUAGCACCAAUCAAUAUAACAUGAUAUUCACCCCCUUUACUGGAAUCAAUCACCACAAGGCAAGUGUUUGUUUUGGUGCUGCAAUGUUACACGAUGAGAAGGCAGAUUCUUACAAGUGGUUGUUUCGCACAUUCUUGAAAGCUAUGGGAGGGGCUGCACCUAGGUUUAUAAUAACUGACAAAUGUAGUAGCAUGGACAAUGUAAUAAGGGAAGUUUUCCCAGCAGCCACACAUAGGCUAUGCAUGUGGCAUAUUAUGAAUAAGAUCCCGCAAAAGGUUGGCCCUGAUAUGAAGACCAAUGAGGAUUUCCAUGAACGAUUAGGUCGGUGCGUGUGGUCUUCUGAAACUCCUACUGAAUUUGAGGAACGAUGGAAAGAAAUUAUGUCAGAGUAUGGGUUGGAAGAUGAUGAAUGGUUCAGUAAAAGAUUUGACACGGCUUUGGAAGAACAACGUCAUAAGGAGUUGCAAGAGGACCAUGUGAGCCUACAUACGAUGCCUGUGUUGAAGACAUCGUGGGCGAUUGAAAAGCAUGGCAGCGAGGUGUUCACGCAUGAGAUAUUUCAGGAUUUUCAACAUGAGUUGCUUGCUGAUAGGGAUCGUUGCCUUGUUGAGAUGAUGGCACAUGAUGGUGAGGUUAAAACAGUAACUAUACAUGAUGGCUAUAAGAAACUAAGGGUGGUAACUUACAACACAACAACCAUGGUAGGUUCUUGCACAUGUAAGUUGUUUGAGACACAUGGUAUCCCAUGUCGUCAUCUGAUCCAUGUCCUAAGAACUGCCCAGCUAAAUGAAUUGCCAAAGCAUUAUGUACUCAAAAGGUUUAGAAAGGACUGCAAAACCGAGCCAGUCUUUGACGAGGACGGCAUUCUAUUGGAAGGCAAUGAGAGCAGUUCAAUUGAUCCGGAGAUACAAAAAUUAGCUUCAGAAACAUGUAAGAAGAUGGAAGACCUUUUAGUACAAGCGAAGCAAUCUCAGGUCGGCAUGCAAUUCUUGAGAGAUCACAUUUUUGCACUUGGAGAGCAAUUGUCUACCCAAGUUCCAGCAAAAAAACAAACUCAAACAGAAGAAUUUGAGGAAUUUUUAGGUUGCUCCAUUCCAAGUGAGGUUCAUAUCCAUCCUCCAAAUGAUAUUCGAUCAAGGGGUAGAACCAAAAGACUAAAGGGGUACAGGGAUAAGGGUGGAAAGCAAAGACAGAAAGAGAAGAACAAGAACAAGGACAAGGAAAUGCAACAGACAUGA
rnacentral:rRNA from 1 species